rnacentral:rRNA from 1 species
ACAGCCAGGAUGUUGGCUUAGAAGCAGCCAUCAUUUAAAGAAAGCGUAAUAGCUCACUGGUCGAGUCGGCCUGCGCGGAAGAUGUAACGGGGCUAAACCAUGCACCGAAGCUGCGGCAGCGAACGUAUCACCCAAGACAACUUUACGGAGUUGACGAUUGACGGAGCGAAGCGACGUCAAAGCGUUCAUUAAAGUCGAGUUGGCUUAGGGAUACGUUCGUUGGGUAGGGGAGCGUUCUGUAAGCCCGUGAAGGUGGCCUGUGAGGGUUGCUGGAGGUAUCAGAAGUGCGAAUGCUGACAUAAGUAACGAUAAAGCGGGUGAAAAGCCCGCUCGCCGGAAGACCAAGGGUUCCUGUCCAACGUUAAUCGGGGCAGGGUGAGUCGACCCCUAAGGCGAGGCCGAAAGGCGUAGUCGAUGGGAAACGGGUUAAUAUUCCCGUACUUGGUGUUACUGCGAAGGGGGGACGGAGAAGGCUAUGUUGGCCGGGCGACGGUUGUCCCGGUUUAAGCGUGUAGGUGUGUGUUCCAGGUAAAUCCGGUUCACUUUAACACUGAGGCGUGACGACGAGGCACUACGGUGCUGAAGCAACAAAUGCCCUGCUUCCAGGAAAAGCCUCUAAGCAUCAGGUAACACGAAAUCGUACCCCAAACCGACACAGGUGGUCAGGUAGAGAAUACCAAGGCGCUUGAGAGAACUCGGGUGAAGGAACUAGGCAAAAUGGUGCCGUAACUUCGGGAGAAGGCACGCUGACACGUAGGUGAAGUGAUUUACUCAUGGAGCUGAAGUCAGUCGAAGAUACCAGCUGGCUGCAACUGUUUAUUAAAAACACAGCACUGUGCAAACACGAAAGUGGACGUAUACGGUGUGACGCCUGCCCGGUGCCGGAAGGUUAAUUGAUGGGGUCAGCGUAAGCGAAGCUCCUGAUCGAAGCCCCGGUAAACGGCGGCCGUAACUAUAACGGUCCUAAGGUAGCGAAAUUCCUUGUCGGGUAAGUUCCGACCUGCACGAAUGGCGUAAUGAUGGCCAGGCUGUCUCCACCCGAGACUCAGUGAAAUUGAACUCGCUGUGAAGAUGCAGUGUACCCGCGGCAAGACGGAAAGACCCCGUGAACCUUUACUAUAGCUUGACACUGAACAUUGAGCCUUGAUGUGUAGGAUAGGUGGGAGGCUUUGAAGUGUGGACGCCAGUCUGCAUGGAGCCGACCUUGAAAUACCACCCUUUAAUGUUUGAUGUUCUAACGUGGACCCGUAAUCCGGGUUGCGGACAGUGUCUGGUGGGUAGUUUGACUGGGGCGGUCUCCUCCUAAAGAGUAACGGAGGAGCACGAAGGUUGGCUAAUCCUGGUCGGACAUCAGGAGGUUAGUGCAAUGGCAUAAGCCAGCUUGACUGCGAGCGUGACGGCGCGAGCAGGUGCGAAAGCAGGUCAUAGUGAUCCGGUGGUUCUGAAUGGAAGGGCCAUCGCUCAACGGAUAAAAGGUACUCCGGGGAUAACAGGCUGAUACCGCCCAAGAGUUCAUAUCGACGGCGGUGUUUGGCACCUCGAUGUCGGCUCAUCACAUCCUGGGGCUGAAGUAGGUCCCAAGGGUAUGGCUGUUCGCCAUUUAAAGUGGUACGCGAGCUGGGUUUAGAACGUCGUGAGACAGUUCGGUCCCUAUCUGCCGUGGGCGCUGGAGAACUGAGGGGGGCUGCUCCUAGUACGAGAGGACCGGAGUGGACGCAUCACUGGUGUUCGGGUUGUCAUGCCAAUGGCACUGCCCGGUAGCUAAAUGCGGAAGAGAUAAGUGCUGAAAGCAUCUAAGCACGAAACUUGCCCCGA